rnacentral:piRNA from 1 species
UCUGAAAUGGUGGGCAAUCAGCA